rnacentral:rRNA from 1 species
GAUGCGUAGGGGUUCUGAGAGGAAGGUCCCCCACACUGGUACUGAGACACGGACCAGACUCCUACGGGAGGCAGCAGUGAGGAAUAUUGGUCAAUGGGCGCGAGCCUGAACCAGCCAAGUCGCGUGAGGGAUGACGGUCCUACGGAUUGUAAACCUCUUUUGCCGGGGAGCAAGCGUGCGUUCGUGAACGCGCGUCGAGAGUACCCGGAGAAAAAGCAUCGGCUAACUCCGUGCCAGCAGCCGCGGUAAUACGGAGGAUGCGAGCGUUAUCCGGAUUUAUUGGGUUUAAAGGGUGCGUAGGCGGGAUGCCAAGUCAGCGGUAAAAAUGCGGUGCUCAACGCCGUCGAGCCGUUGAAACUGGCGUUCUUGAGUGGGCGAGAAGUAUGCGGAAUGCGUGGUGUAGCGGUGAAAUGCAUAGAUAUCACGCAGAACUCCGAUUGCGAAGGCAGCAUACCGGCGCCCUACUGACGCUGAGGCACGAAAGCGUGGGUAUCGAACAGGAUUAGAUACCCUGGUAGUCCACGCAGUAAACGAUGAAUGCUAACUGUCCGGUGCGAGUGAGCGCUGG